GACGAACGCUGGCGGCGUGCUUAACACAUGCAAGUCGAACGGAAAGGCCCUGCUUUUGUGGGGUGCUCGAGUGGCGAACGGGUGAGUAACACGUGAGUAACCUGCCCUUGACUUUGGGAUAACUUCAGGAAACUGGGGCUAAUACCGGAUAGGAGCUCCUGCUGCAUGGUGGGGGUUGGAAAGUUUCGGCGGGUGGGGAUGGACUCGCGGCUUAUCAGCUUGUUGGUGGGGUAGUGGCUUACCAAGGCUUUGACGGGUAGCCGGCCUGAGAGGGUGACCGGCCACAUUGGGACUGAGAUACGGACCAGACUCCUACGGGAGGCAGAAGUGGGGAAUAUUGCACAAUGGGCGGAAGCCUGAUGCAGCAACGCCGCGUGCGGGAUGGCGGCCUUCGGGUUGUAAACCGCUUUCGCCUGUGACGAAGCGUGAGUGACGGUAAUGGGUAAAGAAGCACCGGCUAACUACGUG
rnacentral:rRNA from 1 species